AGCAGUGUGGCCUAAUAGAUAAAGCCUGGCCCUGGGAGUCAGAAGGACAUGGGUUCAAGUCCCAGCUCUGCUA
rnacentral:tRNA from 1 species